rnacentral:rRNA from 1 species
CUUUUGACGGGUAACGGGGAAUUAGGGUUCGACUCCGGAGAGGGAGCCUGAGAAACGGCUACCACAUCCAAGGAAGGCAGCAGGCGCGCAAAUUACCCAAUCCCGAUACGGGGAGGUAGUGACAAGAAAUACCGAUUCAGGAUCUUAUUGGAUCUUGAGAUUGGAAUGAGUACAAUUCAAACCCAUUAACGAGGAACAACUAGAGGGCAAGUCUGGUGCCAGCAGCCGCGGUAAUUCCAGCUCUAGUAGCGUAUAUUAAAAUUGUUGCAGUUAAAACGCUCGUAGUUGAACUUUGGGCUUGGCUGGCUGGUCCGCCUCACCGCGUGCACUGGUCCGGCUGGGCCUUUCCUCUUGGGGAUCCACAUGCCCUUCACUUGGGUGUGUUGGGGAACCAGGACUUUUACUUUGAAAAAAUUAGGGUGUUCAAAGCAGGCAUUUGCUCGAAUACAUUAGCAUGGGAUAAUAGAAUAGGACGUGUGGUCUUAUUUUGUUGGUUUCUAGGACCGCCGUAAUGAUUGAUAGGGAUAGUUGGGGGCAUCGGUAUUCAAUU